rnacentral:tRNA from 1 species
GGCGGGGUAGCUCAGUGGUAGAGCAUGCGGCUCAUAAUCGCAGUGUCGGCGGUUCGAUCCCGCCCCCCGCUACGA